rnacentral:rRNA from 1 species
CAGCCGCCACGGGAAUACGGAGGGCGCGAGCGUUACCUGGAUUUACUGGGCGUAAAGGGCGUGUAGGCGGCCUGGGGCGUCCCAUGUGAAAGGCCACGGCUCAACCGUGGAGGAGCGUGGGAUACGCUCAGGCUAGAGGGUGGGAGAGGGUGGUGGAAUUCCCGGAGUAGCGGUGAAAUGCGCAGAUACCGGGAGGAACGCCGAUGGCGAAGGCAGCCCCCUGGGCCAAUACUGACGCUCAUGCACGAAAGCGUGGGGAGCAAACAGGAUUAGAUACCCGCGUAGUCCCUGUCUCUUAUAC